rnacentral:rRNA from 1 species
UACGAAGGCGGCGAGCGUUGUUCGGAAUUACUGGGCGUAAAGGGCGCGUAGGCGGCCGAUCAAGUCAGAUGUGAAAGUCCUGGGCUUAACCUGGGGACUGCAUUUGAUACUGAUUGGCUUGAAUGCAGGAGAGGAUAGCGGAAUUCCCAGUGUAGAGGUGAAAUUCGUAGAUAUUGGGAAGAACACCGGUGGCGAAGGCGGCGACCUGGUCCUUUACUGACGCUGAGGCGCGAAAGCGUGGGGAGCAAACAGG